UGUCAACUUCGCCGAAACCCA
rnacentral:siRNA from 1 species